rnacentral:rRNA from 1 species
AUACGGAGGGUGCGAGCGUUAAUCGGAAUCACUGGGCGUAAAGGGCGCGUAGGCGGCUAUGCAAGUCGGAUGUGAAAGCCCACGGCUCAACCGUGGAAUUGCAUCUGAAACUGCAUGGCUUGAGUAUGGGAGAGGAAAGUGGAAUUCCCGGUGUAGAGGUGAAAUUCGUAGAUAUCGGGAGGAACACCAGUAGCGAAGGCGACUUUCUGGCCCAAUACUGACGCUGAGGCGCGAAAGCGUGGGGAGCAAACAGGAUUAGAUACCCUGGUAGUCCACAGCUGUAAACGAUGGGCACUAGGUGUAGGGGGAGUUGACCCCCUCUGUGCCGCAGCUAACGCAUUAAGUGCACCGCCUGGGGAGUACGGCCGCAAGGUUAAA